GUGGUUAUUUAAAAAACAGUCAAGCUGUUGAUGACAAGUGCUACUCUAUAAAACCUUUCUUCUGUUAUUCAGAAAUCAAAAGACAAGCAGUCACAAGAAUAAGGGUAAAGUCCAAUCAGGAUGUGAAUGAAUUAAAGGCAGCUAUCUUGGACCAGAUCGAGCAUACAAUGAAGGAUAACAGGAUGACAGAGGAUGUCACAGUGACAUGGAGAGUACAACCUGAUGGAAUGGAGUUUCGUAAGGAGAGAAAAGAUAAAGGUUGAAUUUUUUAGCUGUGUUUCAUAUGUCAAAGUGAUAUUUUAGUCUUAUUAGAAUAUUCAUUUUGGAAGAUUUAAUGAGAAAUAAUUUACUUUUAAGGGGAUGUAAAAAAAACUUUGGUGUAUGAGAUAAUUGUAACAUUUAAG